rnacentral:rRNA from 1 species
GUGAGGAAUUUUCCGCAAUGGGCGAAAGCCUGACGGAGCAAUGCCGCGUGAAGGAUGAAGGCCUAUGGGUUGUAAACUUCUUUUCUCAGAAAAGAAUUAUGACGGUAUCUGAGGAAUAAGCAUCGGCUAACUCUGUGCCAGCAGCCGCGGUAAGACAGAGGAUGCAAGCGUUAUCCGGAAUGAUUGGGCGUAAAGCGUCUGUAGGUUGUUUAAAAAGUAUUCUGUCAAAGAUUAGGGCUUAACCCUAGAUAGGCAGAAUAAACUUUUAAGCUAGAGUUAGGUAGAGGCAGAGGGAAUUCCCGGUGGAGCGGUGAAAUGCGUAGAUAGCGGGAGGAACACCAAAGGCGAAGGCACUCUGCUGGGCCAAUACUAACACUGAGAGACGAAAGCGAGGGGAGCAAAUGGGAUUAGAUACCCCGGUAGUCC